rnacentral:rRNA from 1 species
UACGUAGGGUCCGAGCGUUGUCCGGAAUUACUGGGCGUAAAGAGCUCGUAGGUGGUUUGUCGCGUUGUUCGUGAAAACUCACAGCUUAACUGUGGGCGUGCGGGCGAUACGGGCAGACUUGAGUACUGCAGGGGAGACUGGAAUUCCUGGUGUAGCGGUGGAAUGCGCAGAUAUCAGGAAGAACACCCGUGGCGAAGGCGGCUCUCUGGGACGGUACUGACGCUGAGACGCGAAAGCGUGGGGAGCGAACAGG